rnacentral:rRNA from 1 species
GAUGAACGCUGGCGGCGUGCCUAAUACAUGCAAGUCGAGCGAACAGACGAGGAGCUUGCUCCUCUGACGUUAGCGGCGGACGGGUGAGUAACACGUGGAUAACCUACCUAUAAGACUGGGAUAACUUCGGGAAACCGGGGCUAAUACCGGAUAAUAUAUUGAACCGCAUGGUUCAAUAGUGAAAGACGGUUUUGCUGUCACUUAUAGAUGGAUCCGCGCCGCAUUAGCUAGUUGGUAAGGUAACGGCUUACCAAGGCAACGAUGCGUAGCCGACCUGAGAGGGUGAUCGGCCACACUGGAACUGAGACACGGUCCAGACUCUUACGGGAGGCAGCAGUGGGGAAUCUUCCGCAAUGGGCGAAAGCCUGACGGAGCAACGCCGCGUGAGUGAUGAAGGUCUUCGGAUCGUAAAACUCUGUUAUUAGGGAAGAACAAAUGUGUAAGUAACUAUGCACGUCUUGACGGUACCUAAUCAGAAAGCCACGGCUAACUACGUG